CGUCAGUUUUUGUUGUUGUCAUUUUAUCAUAGCACAGGGUUAAUGACAACUUAUUUUCAUGUGCCUACAUUUUAAAACUUUGCUCAGGAACUUGGCCUCUAGAAACCUGUCCCUCAUCUGCUGGGGGCACUUUCACGGGGAAGCCUCAGACUGUUUUGAUCCUUAGAAUGAGUCCUGGGCAAUUUGAACUUGUGGUGUGGCUGCAUCUUCGCUUAAAAAAAAAAAAACAAAAAGCAAAAAAAAAAAAAAACAUAAAACUUAGAAAUCCCCACCCACAAUAAGCAUCACAAUUUAGCAGCUUAUCCAGCCCUUCUCUCUUCAGACUGUGAGGUCCACUUGUGAACUUACUUCCAAAUCUUAGCUAAUGAUCUGAGAUGAAAUGAAAUGAUAAAAGCCUGCAGGAAGGAUCCAGAAACUAACUCACCAAGGGCUUUAGAUGGCUCCACCUCAUGCCUUUUUAUUUUAUCUUAUAGCUCAAAAAGAAACUCCCUAACCCUGCGGAUGGCUAUGAAAUCCCAUCUUCAGUACCUUUCCACAAAUAUUAAACUUAUACAUUUCAGAGAAGAUCUCCUAAUGUUAUUCCCAGCAUAACAAAAUUUGAAAACAGUUAUUGCUACUUUAUCUAUUUUUUCCUGUGGUCUUUGUAUUUAAUUUUUUCCUAUAAGUGAAAUUUUUAAAAAGUUAUAUUUUUGCUAUUACCUGUUGUGUGUGUGAAGGCCAAGGAUCUAUUACAGAAGUUGAUUUAUUCAUGCAAAUGUGUGAAAACAUUAAAUUAGUUUAUGCUACCAGGUUCUGAAAAUUAUACCUUCUAAAUCACCUCUCUUCUAUUCAUAACUCUCCCACCAACAUCCCCAUGCAAACUCACCUAGUUGAUGGACACAACCUGCUAACUGGUCUUUGCAUCAAGCCACUUCCUUUAUCAAGUGAUAGUAAUGCAAUCCAUCUUCAUAAACAAAUAAAGCCCAGAUUGUUGGCUUCCAAUCCCCACACUAUCGUUGCUUUUCCACUGCAUGAGAAUAAGGCCCACCACCUUUCAUACAGCUUGUAGGGCCCUAACCAAUCUCAUCUCAGUCCAUCUUCAUUGGCCUAACUCAUUUUCUCUCACUCUUUAGCCUAACAUUUUCCCCAGCUUCAUAGAAUGAUUAACAAAUAAAAAUUGUCCAUGUUCAAGGUGAACAAUGUGAUGUUAUGACAUACAUAAACAUGUCAAGUGAUGAUCGUAAUCACACUCACUAACACAUGAGUCACUUCACAUAGCAUGUGCAUGUGGGUGCAUGUGUGGCGAGAACACGAGAUCUACUCUCUAAGUACAUUUCAAGUCUGCAAUACAGUAUCAUUAACUCCAUCAUCCUGUGUGCAUUGAGUCUCCCUUGUGGAAACUAAAACUACAGAAGUCACAGCAGCAAAGAGCAGAAUGGUGGUUGCCAGGGGCUGGAGAAGGGGAGUGAUGAGACAUUGGUCUAAGGGUCCAAGUUUUCAGAUAUAAGAUGAAUAAGUCUUGUCUAAUUGACUUUAUCUUCACUUCUCAUUUGUGAAUAUCAGGGAAACUCUCCCUGCUGGCCUUAUUCAGUGUCUUUUGUUAUACUUUCUCAUAGCAGUGGGUCCUUUGUGGGCAAAGCAAUUUCAUCAGUUAUGCCGCUUCUUGCAGCCCCAUUGUAUCUGUUGACUGUCUGUCUCCUUGUUGAGGGGUGGGGAUGUCACCUACUCACCACUGCAUGCCCUGCCCUCAGCUCAAUGGACGGCACAGAGCAUGCCCUAAAGAAAUACCCAAAACACAAGUUGAGAAGAUAAUUAUAUAAAGUAGAAAUAAUUCAGUGCUUGACUUCUGAAAACAAUAACAAGGUUUCUUCCAUCCAGACUAACAUCAGUAGAAUUUGUGGUGUUUUUAAAAGAAGAACAGAAAAAAACGGAGAUAGAAGGCAAGAAAAUGAGGUGUCAUUCACCACAAAAGCUACUUUACAACUCUAUCAAUUGACAAAACAACUCAAGUUGUCAAAGGGAUUAAAAUACAAAACAGUCUUCUAAACAAAUAUGACAAAUUUGUCUGCCCCUUGUUUUUACACCUUCAGCCUCCCAGAAAGCAAAGAAGAAAAAUAACUCACAUACACAGGCAAAAUUUUUGCAUCAUUAUGACUUUUCAAAAUGCUGUAAGAAUUACAACAGUCUUUAUUAACAUGAGUCUACAAAUUAGAUAUGCUUCUCAGAAUAAUAGAUUUUAAAAAUCUUGAAUGGAAAGAAUUGUGAUUUUUCAAGGAAAUUAGAUAAUAAAAUUGCAAGUUUUUAUAAACACCACAAUAUGGGAAUGCUUUAGGGUUAAGGACAGAAUAGAAAAUUCAUAAUGGUGUAAUUUCAAGUGAUUAGUAAACACAAAAUUAUACAACCUCCCUAGCAAUCAAAGAGCUGAAAAUUAAACAGCACUUCCCCCUCUAGCAAAUGAGCAAAGACGAAAAUCUAUCAUAAUACUUCAAGCUGUAGCAGGACAAUUGGAGUGAGCAUAAAUUAGCACAGAUUUCUGCAGAGCAAUUUUCCAAUACUCAUUAGUUACCUUAAAAAGGUUGUUAAUCAGUGUUUCCCCUUCCUUCUACUAUGUUGUCUUAAAGAAAGGCCCAUUAGCAAAUAUACAGAUGGUUGCAAAGAUGGAUAGAUGGAUGGGUGAGUGGAUGGAUGGAUGGAUGGAUCGUGAUACUGGUAGAUGGGUAGGUGGAUUUAUGGUGGAUGGAUGGACAGACAGAGGUAUAAUCUCUAUCUCAAUCUUUCUAUAUUAGGCUCCUGCUAGUCUAUAGCAUCCUAGUGUGAUUGGAAACUAGAAGCCCUUUCCACGGGACAGAUCCCAACCUCAGGCUGGCCAUUCACUGAAUGAAGCCUAUGCCACCCUCUGCAAGGUGUUUUGCUCCAAAGCUUAAUAUAGAUGGUUAAAUAUUAAAAAUGGAUAUUUUAAAGGUUUUUUUUUAAACCUAGAAAAAUGGUCACUAUAAAGUAUCGAAUGAAAAGUCAGAAUAUAAAAUGAUACAUAUAAUACAGUCACUAAUGUAUUAAAAUGCAAGGGGGCAGUGUUCUCUGAGUAGAAGCAUCAUAAAGAUUCUCUCUUGGAUCGAACGCUACUCAGGCUUCCUUCAUCCUUGAUACUUGAAUAACCUUCUAUAACUGAUCAGGUUUCUCACUGCCAACCAACCCCAAGGUGAUGACCUAAUCACACUGGACUGCCUUCAGCAAGUGCCCCCUCUAUAAGGUUGGUUUGGCCAGAAACCUCUCACUCCUGACACUUCCUCUUAGCAAUUUUCCACCCACUGUUCUUCACCUGCUUCAUGGCUACAAACCUCCACUUUGCAUGCUGUGUUCAGACCCUACUUCAGUGGCCCCUACAUAUACUGCAAUAGUCCUAAAGAAAAUGUGCUUUACCAUUCUGUAACAAGUGCUCAGAGUGGUUUUUCUUAAGCAUGAGAUUGUUACUUUUUCUUUAAAAAAAGUCCGGAAUACUUUUUCUCUCUUGAAAUGAGGUCUUUGGCUGAAAUCCAGAACAUGUUCACUGUGGAGAUUCAGAAAAUUUGAGUGAUUUGAAAGGAAAAGGAGUGAGAGUGUUUGCAGGUUGGCUUUUGCUCAAGGAUGAAGGGGGAAGAGCAAUCUUCCCAGCUAGGAGAGAGAGGGGAGUGGAGACCCAGUCUUGGGUCAUUUUCUUACCUGGCCUCAUGAACUAUUCCUGAACACUGUGGGGAAGAGCAUAUUGAAAGCUGAAAGAGCUGUUUGACAUCUUCUAAAACCCAGCAGGCUGUGCAAGAACCCAAGAAACAGAGUUGGAUUCAAUCAUUCUUCUGGUCAUCCACUUUAGCUCUUUCCCCUCCCUCUAUAUAUUCCAUUUCUCCUUAAACCUGACUCCAAAGAACAAUGUAAAGGGGAGAAAUACCCAUAAAUAAACAUAUGGGCAAAUAAAUGAUCCAUCUUACUCUAUGAUAUUUUUCCUUAGCCACCAAAAAUAACGCUGAAAAGUGCCAUGGUUCCUCAAAGCACACACAGGCAUCAUAUUGCAGGUGGAUUAAAUUUCCAUCUCACACCAUGAUAUACCUAUAACCUAAGCCCAUAAACAAGAAAACUAUCCAUCCACAUCAUCAUUCCACUUAGUAUCAAGUGAGGGAAGAAACCAAAGAGAUGAACAAACAUCAUCCUUAUAAUUAAGUAAAGAUAGAAUAAGAAAAGAAUGGGACAUGUGUUACAGAUUUGAAUUGUGAGUAUUGUUUCCUCCCAUAAAUACAUAAUAGAAGUGGAUGGCUUGCUACCCAAAAGGAUUUGCACUAAGUGGAACCAUUAAAAGUGCUCAAGAACUUGCUAGAAAUAUAGAGUCUCAAUCUCUUCUCGAGCUGCAGAAUGAGAACCUGUAUUUUAACAAGCUUCUAGAUUAUUUGUAUGUGCACUAGUGUCUGGAUAGCUGAGGUGGAGACUGCCCAAGAAUCUGCAUCCAGGAUGACAUCCAGGUGCUAUAAGGGAUGAGCUUCCCCCUCUUUCCCAAUUGGAUUUGGUGCUCUGCAAACUUCCAGCAAACCACUGAGGCUUAGUCCAGAUAGACCAGGUGCUUCAACCUUAACAACCAAGCUUGAAAUAGUAAACUGAGAACAAGGACAGUAAGAGAAUGUUUGUCUGAGCAUUUCUGGGAAACAUGCCACACAGCAUGAUAUCAUGAUUCACAGGUGAUGAGAGCCCCACAAACUGAGGUGCUAAUAGCGAGAAGCAAUUACGAAGGCUCAUUCUUAUUUUAACAAACAUGAAUGAAGUUAGUAGAAAAUUGAGUCUUUAAAUUCAUGUCAAGUAGACAAAAAAAGUUAUGGAUAUAUGAGUUUGAAUAUUAUAUUUUUGCUCAAAGAGUAUUAUCAAGAGAAACUGGAAUAAUAAUUCCUUCCAUUGCAAGUUUAAUGAGAAAAUGUCACAUAAAUAUCAACUACUGUAGAUUUUCCACCCAGAAUACCACACUAAAAAAUACAUAUGCUUCUUAAAAACUGGUGGGUUUUUUAAAUGACAGAUUUGUGCUCCUUAUUUUGUACAUAUCAUACCUCUAUUUCUAGAAAUUUUAUUUUCUAUUUCAGUUAUUCCAAAAACAUCUUUUUAAGACUGAAGAGUUUUACUAAUUAAAGAGAAAGAAAAGGGAUAGAUAUUUUUCUAAUCAGAACUCACUCCCAAGGAAUGCCAAGUAAGUACUGGAAAAAAGCCUCAAACUUGCUUAUGGGGUCUUUGUAAGAAGGUGCCCCAAGGAUCCUAAAUGUUUGAUUGAUGUGACAUAUAUAAAAAAAUUAACUCUUCCAAUAUGCUGCCACAACUGAUUAAGAGCAGAUAAACUUUAAAAUAGUCAAAUGCCUGGAGUGAAUGCAAACCAAUAAACUUCAUAUAUACAUAUAUAUACACACACACAUAUAUACACAUAUACACAUACACACAUUAUAUAUAUAUAUAUAUAUACACACACACACACGUAAAUAUAAAAUUACCACUUCUCAUGUAAGAAAAUUUAUAACUAUUCUUCCCAUCUCUCAAGAAUGAAACAUGGCAAUCCAAAUCUCAAAUAUGUACUCUAUAAAGAGAUGAAGAGAGAUAAAGAAAGAGUAAGAGAGACAGGGAGAUGGAGGGAGGGACAUACAGACAGAAAGAAAGGAUUGGGGUAGAUAGAGAGAGGAGGAGAGGGAGAUAAACUGCUAGUUCCAGAGCCUACAUUAUGUCAGCCUGAUCCUCCUUGUGGCAAAGGAAAAGGAUGAGGAGUAUAAGUUAGGUGGCGCAACAACAAUCAGGAACCCAAGCUAACUCACAUAAAUGUGUAUUAUGGAGUGUCCCAGGCCAGCUGUUUCCCAGUCCAUGGGUUUCACAAUACUGUGAAGCCUCAUGGUGGGUGGGUUGGGGCAAUAUGGGUUCACAAUGACUCCCUUUCCUCUGGUCAAAUCUCCAACCUAAGAAAAACCAGAUGAUCACUCCAUCUCCUCUGAACCUCAGAUUAAAUGCUGCAUGUGAGGCUGUGCCUUUGAGUGCUCUGCUAAGACACAAUGUUCUGGGUGAACAAGUCUGUCCCUGUACCAAAUUCUGUAUUUUUGCAUCUUUUAUUUUCUUCAUAAAACAGAGCAGACAUAUUGAUAAAUGUGCACAAGCCCAUAAUUACAUCUAUGAGCAUAGAAUGUCCCAGAAGGUAUAUGCUUCAUGCAUAGAACUUUAACUAGGGUCUUCCCCAACUCAUCAAAAUUAAUUUCCUUUACAAAUAAUACAGACCAUCAGGGUUUGGGAUGGGGAUGAUUUCAUGCAUCUGUUUCCUGGGCCUGUGCCUGGAAGAACAUUGACCUGGGCUUAAUGUUUUGUUGUUGGUGUCUUGGAAUUUGUUAUAAAUUGUGAAUAAGACACUCUCCAUUUUCUUUUGCAUUAAACCUCAAAAAUUACAGAGCUGGUCCUGGUUAUAGAGAUAAGAUUUUUUGGUCCUUUUUUAAACAGGAAUUGUAAUUCUCUUUUAAAAUUUGAAACUUUUACUUAAGAUGUGCCAUGAGAAUUUUAUUUUAAAUGAUUCUUUAGAAUUUUCCUAUAUAAUAUGACAGAUCUAGGUCUGUGUAGCAGAAAUAAAUUCUUACAAAAGCCAAGGCAAAAAAAGGAACAAAUAAAAAGUAAAUUGAUUCCUUUUUUUUUUUUUUUUUUUUUUCCUUUUUGCCUUUUUGCCAUUUCUUGGGCUGCUCCCACAGCAUAUGGAGGUUCCCAGGCUAGGGGUCAAAUCGGAGCUGUAGCCACUGGCCUAC
rnacentral:lncRNA from 1 species